UUGGAGGGCAAGUCUGGUGCCAGCAGCCGCGGUAAUUCCAGCUCCAAUAGCGUAUAUUAAAGUUGCUGCAGUUAAAAAGCUCGUAGUUGAAUUUCGGGACUAAUAUGUUGGUCGUGCCUCGGUACGUACUGAUAUUUUUGGUUUCUCCCUUCUGACGAACCUUGAUGUCAUUAAUUUGGUGUCUUGGGAAAUCAGGACUGUUACUUUGAAAAAAUUAGAGUGUUUAAAGCAGGCUCACGCUUGAAUACAUUAGCAUGGAAUAAUGAAAUAGGACGUUUGAUUCUAUUUUGUUGGUUUCUAGGAUUGACGUAAUGAUUAAUAGGGAUAGUUGGGGGCAUUAGUAUUCAAUUGUCAGAGGUGAAAUUCUUGGAUUUAUUGAAGACUAACUACUGCGAAAGCAUUUGCCAAGGAUGUUCUCAUUAAUCAAGAACGAAAGUUAGGGGAUCGAAGACGAUCAGAUACCGUCGUAGUCUUGACCAUAAACUAUGCCGACUAGGGAUCGGAUGAUGUUAAUUUUUUAAUGACUCAUUCGGCGCCUUACGGGAAAC
rnacentral:rRNA from 1 species